CGGAUGUGGCGCAAUGGUAGCGCACCUGAAUUUGGAUCAGGAGGUUAUAGGUUCGAGCCCUAUCAUCCGUA
rnacentral:tRNA from 1 species